rnacentral:lncRNA from 1 species
CUGUCCUCUCCCGAAAGACAGAUGACGGCGGAAGUUGUUCAAACACACAUCUGCUGUUUGCUGUUGCUAAUGAACUCAACACGACACCAGUUCAAACCCUACACGCACACACACACACUAACACACACACACACACCAGUUCAAACCCACACUAACACUGUCUGUCAUUUCUCUCCUUCUCUCUUUCUUUCUUUCUUUCUCUCUAUCCUGUCACCACAGGGAAAUUCGGAGGAGUUUUAUUCUUUCACUCGUCUGGUUGGAGACAGCCAAAAGCGAGACGGCCCUUCUCAAACUGUUCACUUUCCUGGGACUGAAACCACAGGAUGAUACUCUGCAGAAGGUCUCAGGAGAGAAAAUGUUCCAUUGACUUUCACACCUUCAACCUCAAGGUAGGUGCUCCUGGUUUUUUAAAGUUUGUGUGUUUGUGUGUUCGUGUGUGUGUGUGUGUUUGUGUGUGUGUGUGCUGUUUGGUUUUUGCAUUGGUCCAGCAUUUAGGGGAGCACUCAAUCCCAUC